rnacentral:rRNA from 3 species
GCAGUCGAGCGAAUGGAUUAAGAGCUUGCUCUUAUGAAGUUAGCGGCGGACGGGUGAGUAACACGUGGGUAACCUGCCCAUAAGACUGGGAUAACUCCGGGAAACCGGGGCUAAUACCGGAUAACAUUUUGAACCGCAUGGUUCGAAAUUGAAAGGCGGCUUCGGCUGUCACUUAUGGAUGGACCCGCGUCGCAUUAGCUAGUUGGUGAGGUAACGGCUCACCAAGGCAACGAUGCGUAGCCGACCUGAGAGGGUGAUCGGCCACACUGGGACUGAGACACGGCCCAGACUCCUACGGGAGGCAGCAGUAGGGAAUCUUCCGCAAUGGACGAAAGUCUGACGGAGCAACGCCGCGUGAGUGAUGAAGGCUUUCGGGUCGUAAAACUCUGUUGUUAGGGAAGAACAAGUGCUAGUUGAAUAAGCUGGCACCUUGACGGUACCUAACCAGAAAGCCACGGCUAACUACGUGCCAGCAGCCGCGGUAAUACGUAGGUGGCAAGCGUUAUCCGGAAUUAUUGGGCGUAAAGCGCGCGCAGGUGGUUUCUUAAGUCUGAUGUGAAAGCCCACGGCUCAACCGUGGAGGGUCAUUGGAAACUGGGAGACUUGAGUGCAGAAGAGGAAAGUGGAAUUCCAUGUGUAGCGGUGAAAUGCGUAGAGAUAUGGAGGAACACCAGUGGCGAAGGCGACUUUCUGGUCUGUAACUGACACUGAGGCGCGAAAGCGUG